CUACACAUGCAGUCGACGGCAGCACAGAGGAGCUUGCUCCUUGGGUGGCGAGUGGCGGACGGGUGAGGAAUACAUCGGAAUCUACUUUUUCGUGGGGGAUAACGUAGGGAAACUUACGCUAAUACCGCAUACGACCUACGGGUGAAAGCAGGGGAUCUUCGGACCUUGCGCGAUUGAAUGAGCCGAUGUCGGAUUAGCUAGUUGGCGGGGUAAAGGCCCACCAAGGCGACGAUCCGUAGCUGGUCUGAGAGGAUGAUCAGCCACACUGGAACUGAGACACGGUCCAGACUCCUACGGGAGGCAGCAGUGGGGAAUAUUGGACAAUGGGCGCAAGCCUGAUCCAGCCAUACCGCGUGGGUGAAGAAGGCCUUCGGGUUGUAAAGCCCUUUUGUUGGGAAAGAAAUCCAGCCGGCUAAUACCUGGUUGGGAUGACGGUACCCAAAGAAUAAGCACCGGCUAACUUCGUGCCAGCAGCCGCGGUAAUACGAAGGGUGCAAGCGUUACUCGGAAUUACUGGGCGUAAAGCGUGCGUAGGUGGUUGUUUAAGUCUGUUGUGAAAGCCCUGGGCUCAAC
rnacentral:rRNA from 1 species